rnacentral:rRNA from 1 species
UGAGUAACACGUGGACAAUCCUGCCCCCCGGCCCGGGAUAGCCCAGGGAAACCUGGAUUAAUACCGGAUGAGACGGGACCGCGAAGGCGGGACCCGGGAAAGGCGCUGCGGCGCCGCCGGGGGAUGAGUCUGCGUCCCAUUAGCUAGACGGCGGGGUAACGGCCCACCGUGGCGACGAUGGGUAGCCGGCCUGAGAGGGUGGACGGCCACAUUGGAACUGAGACACGGUCCAGACUCCUACGGGAGGCAGCAGCUAAGAAUCUUCCGCAAUGGGCGAAAGCCUGACGGAGCGACGCCGCGUGAACGAAGAAGGCCGUGAGGUUGUAAAGUUCUUUUCGGGAGAGGGAACAACCGUGGCAGGGAAUGGCCGCGGGAUGACGUGAAUCCCGGAAUAAGCCCCGGCUAACUACGUGCCAGCAGCUGC